rnacentral:rRNA from 1 species
CCCGCGAGGGUGAGCCAAUCCCAGAAACCCCAUCUCAGUCCGGAUUGGAGUCUGCAACUCGACUCCAUGAAGUCGGAAUCGCUAGUAAUCGCAGAUCAGCAUUGCUGCGGUGAAUACGUUCCCGGGCCUUGUACACACCGCCCGUCACACCAUGGGAGUUUGUUGCACCAGAAGCAGGUAGCUUAACCGCAAGGGGGGCGCUUGCCACGGUGUGGCCGAUGACUGGGGUGAAGUCGUAACAAGGUAGCCGUAUCGGAAGGUGCGGCUGGAUCACCUCCUUUAGA